GAGCGCGAAUGGAGCAAUCCUAGUAGAGCGGCGCACGGGUGCGUAACACGUGGGUAAUCUGCCUCGAAGUGGGGAAUAACACCGGGAAACCGGUGCUAAUACCGCAUAAUCUGAUGGAAUCUGCGGAUUUUGUCAGCAAAGGAGCAAUUCGCUUUGAGAGGAGCCCGCGGCUGAUUAGCUAGUUGGUGAGGUAAUGGCUCACCAAGGCCACGAUCAGUAGCCGGUCUGAGAGGACGGUCGGCCACACUGGAACUGAGAUACGGUCCAGACUCCUACGGGAGGCAGCAGUGGGGAAUUUUUGGCAAUGGGGGAAACCCUGACCAAGCAACGCCGCGUGGAGGAUGAAGCCCUUUGGGGCGUAAACUCCUUUCGAUCGGGACGAUUAUGACGGUACCGGAAGAAGAAGCACCGGCUAACUCUGUG
rnacentral:rRNA from 1 species